rnacentral:lncRNA from 10 species
GAAUUGCCCACCACUAAACGAUUGUAAAUAUGCAAUUAACAAUUGAAGUAGAAGUAAAAGAAAAAAAUCGUCUGUCAAGAUUUCUUUUGGAAGACACAGGAUGCUUUAAGCUAACAACAGCAUGACAAAAGACAAAAGCAUCUUUGCCAAUGAAGCUGAAAGUUGCAAAAUGUUUAAACAUUUGAUUUUUCUUCUUGAAAUAAUUGUAAUAAUUGUCUCCUGUGAAACAGAAAUUAAUGAAAUGACACAUUCCUUGUUACAAAGCUAAGGUUAAGUCUCAUAUAGACCCUGCUUAUGAUUUCUAUACAUAAUUGCUUCCCAGUAUUUAUUUCUCAAUAAUAAUGGAGUCACUAGCUUCUGAGAAUGGAAGAAAAUAGAAAACACACCUAUAGCAGUUUCAAAUUUAUAGAAAUGAUGUUGUCAUAAUAACAGUAUAAUGCUAGGAAUUCUUAGUUAACAUUGGCUACAAUAUUUUUUACUCCUUUCUGUUUGCCAUUUUAAUCUUGGAAGCAGCAGAAGCAUUAUCAUGUUUUGUUAUCCUAAGUUACACUCUUCAAUUUUCUAUUACUUAAUUUUUGAUCUCAUGAUUUUUGAUAAAUGUCUAUCUUUUAUUUCAUAAGACCUACACUUUUUCAGCAGGUUGUCAGAUACAAAACAAUCUGUAUCACCCGUGAGUAUAUCUGAGUUUUUCCCGUAUUCCCAGAAGAAAAUGUUCAAAUAUUUUGAAAUGUGCAAAAAUAUCAUAGAGAUUAGACAAUGAGAAAUGCAACUAAUUCCAGGUUUAAAUAGCAUUUCAUUACAGGUUUUAAUUUUAUAUUGUAAGUGUAUAUUAUAUAAAAUAAAUAUAUAUUUAUAUCAAUAUUAAUUAUUUUAUAUACUAUUUGAAGUCUUUCAAUGAAGUAAAUAACUUCUCUCACCUGUUUCCUCUGUUCAUGGUGUAGAAAACGAAAAAUAUCUCUGUAACAAAGAACAUAUUAAUAAGAGAAAACAUACACAUUUAUUUAAUAUGUUUUAUGUGUCACAGGAGCCUUCAUAAACAAAUGAAAACCUGAAGAAACAGUUAACCCAGUGUGUUUUUAGACUAGAGUUGAUGAAGACUGGAAAGGAUAGGAUGAAGGGGUAUUAGCUAGGUGCAAACUGGGGGAACCUUGGUAAGACCUGUUCAUUCAGCUUCCUCUCAGUGUCUCUCUGUUUUGGAGAUAGUCUCCUUUCCUCUGAGUCUAUGGAGGGCACCUCUCACAUAAAGCAUCUAUGGCCUGGUCCAGGGCACAGUCAGAGAGUCCUUUUUGUAUCUGCUAUUUCUCAAAUUUCUUCAGCUUAAAAUAUUCAAUAUGCUGAGAUGACAUAUUUUAGGGUAGAAUGUUCUGAACCCUGUCAAUGGUUUAUGAAGAAAAUGUUUAAUUUUGAUUGGCUUAUGUUUUUAUUUCCCCUAUUAAAAAGUAAAUUCUUCCUUAUUUUGAAGAGACAAGAAAAUUCUACAUUUCUUCUCUUAAAUUUAUAGCCCUAUCAAUUCUAAAUAUCUGACAGAGUUGGGAGUUUUAUUUGCGUAUGCUGUAAGGUAGGGAUCCAGUUUUACUUUUCUUUACAUAGUGAACCACUUUCCCCUGCAACUGUUGUUAACCCAUUAUCCUGUUAAAGCAAAUUAAAUAUAACCGGAAAAGGGCUCCUUACUUCUAUAUCUGAGUACUUGUGGAGGAAUUGCAACCAAACUUAAUAGGUAGACAAGACUGACAACCUAAUUUGGGAGUGUGACCCUCUAACAGUGACUGGGUCUUGGCCAAUGCCAGCAGCCAUACUUCAACCACUCAUACGAGUGUUCAAAUUGUGCUCAAAUAAGGCAAACACUGAGCUGUAACCAAU